rnacentral:rRNA from 1 species
UGGCAGAUGGGUGAGUAACACGUGGGGAUCUGCCCAAUGGUACGGAAUAAUUCCGGGAAACUGGGACUAAUACCGUAUGUGCCCGCAAGGGGAAAGAUUUAUCGCCAUUGGAUGAACCCGCGUCGGAUUAGCUAGUUGGUGAGGUAAAGGCUCACCAAGGCGACGAUCCGUAGCUGGUCUGAGAGGAUGAUCAGCCACACUGGGACUGAGACACGGCCCAGACUCCUACGGGAGGCAGCAGUGGGGAAUAUUGGACAAUGGGCGCAAGCCUGAUCCAGCCAUGCCGCGUGAGUGAUGAAGGCCUUAGGGUUGUAAAGCUCUUUCGCCGACGAAGAUAAUGACGGUAGUCGGAGAAGAAGCCCCGGCUAACUUCGUGCCAGCAGCCGCGGUAAUACGAAGGGGGCUAGCGUUGUUCGGAAUCACUGGGCGUAAAGCGCACGUAGGCGGACAUUUAAGUCAGGGGUGAAAGCCUGGAGCUCAACUCCAGAACUGCCCUUGAUACUGGGUGUCUCGAGUCCGGAAGAGGUAAGUGGAACUGCGAGUG